rnacentral:rRNA from 1 species
AAUCAACGCUGGCGGCGUGCCUCAGACAUGCAAGUCGAACGAUUAAACUUUCCUUCGGGAAAGAUAUAAAGUGGCGCACGGGUGAGUAACACGUAGGUAAUGUACCUUUGGGUGGGGAAUAACUUAGGGAAACUUAAGCUAAUACCGCAUAAUGCAGCGGCUCCUUCGGGAGACAGUUGUUAAAGAUUUAUCGCCUAAAGAGCAGCCUGCGGCAGAUUAGCUAGUUGGUAAGGUAACGGCUACCAAGGCGACGAUCUGUAUCCGACCUGAGAGGGUGGUCGGACACACUGACACUGAAUAACGGGUCAGACUCCUACGGGAGGCAGCAGUCGGGAAUUUGGGCAAUGGGCGAAAGCCUGACCCAGCAACGCCGCGUGAAGGAUGAAGUCUUUCGGA